rnacentral:rRNA from 1 species
CCGCCCGUCGCUCCUACCGAUUGAAUGAUCCGGUGAAGUGUUCGGAUCGCGGCGACGUGUGUGGUUCGCCGCCCGCGACGUCGCGAGAAGUCCACUAAACCUUAUCAUUUAGAGGAAGGAGAAGUCGUAACAAGGUUUCCGUAGGUGAACCUGCGGAAGGAUCAUUGUCGAAACCUGUCCAAAACAGAACGACCCGCGAACCAAAGAUCAUCACUCACGGUGGGCUGGUUUCUUGUCGAGACCGGCCUGCUGUAUCCGUGGUUGCACGAACAAUCCUCACCCCAGUUUGGAUUGUGCGUGUUUCUUCCGGAUUUAACAAAACCACGGCACGGAAAGUGUCAAGGAACAUGCAAUUGAACAGCCAGCUUUCUACGCCCCGGAGACGGUGUGUGUGCGGAUGCUGUGCUGCGAUAUAAAGUCAAAACGACUCUCGGCAACGGAUAUCUCGGCUCUCGCAUCGAUGAAGAACGUAGCGAAAUGCGAUACUUGGUGUGAAUUGCAGAAUCCCGUGAACCAUCGAGUCUUUGAACGCAAGUUGCGCCCCAAGCCUUCUGGCCGAGGGCACGUCUGCCUGGGUGUCACGAAUCGUCGUCCCUCACAUCCUUCGGAUAAUGGGACGGAAGCUGGUCUCCCGUGUGUUACCGCACGCGGCUGGCCAAAAUCCGAGCUAAGGACGCCGAGAGCGUUACGACAUGCGGUGGAGAACAAAAGCCUCUUCGUAUCGUUGGUCGCUCUUGUCUUGAAGCUCUCGAUGACCC